UAUUUUAAUAGUUCAUCAAAAAUAGGUUUAGCAUGCCCACCACUGAAUCCUUAUGUAUCUUCGUCUCUUUCGUAGAGAUUCCAAGCUGCCGUCGAAUGUUUGUAACCGAUGAAGUUAGUUUAAUGCUCCACUCCCGUCGAUUAAUUGAUAGAGGUUAAUGAUAGCAUUCAAUCGUGGAAUCGACAACUUCUUCAUCCUUUCAGCUUCCAUCAUUUCUUCAAUUUCCUAUAACAGUUUAUAUGGAGUUACAGAAGACGGCUUAGCUCAUCUUAUCGUCUCACUAUCAACUUAGAGAGCAUGGAAGGAUCUCUGGUGCUUGCUUUGAUGCUGGGCGAGACAUCAUUCCUGUUGUACAGACUACAAGACUCUUGAUGCGACUUGCAUACGUGAUUACAUAGAUGUGACAUACUUCGUUGAUGCUCGCUCAUGUUAAAGAUCUUGAAAAGGCUAAGCUUCACAAAAUUGGAAUCUUCAAUAUUGGGACCAGGAAAGUUCCUGUAUAUAUGCAAAUAGAUUCUCCACUAAAUGAAAAAAUAAGCGAAUGAAUUUUAGAGAAAGUAUGUGCUUUGUUUCUAUGUGAGCAGGUAGGUCGGUGAAGGAGAUUGUGGAAGCCUGAAAGAACAGCGGUCGAUUACUUGGAAAGAAGGGCAUGAGAUUCGCAGAGGUGUACAGCGAUCCAAGCAAGAUCAGAGUGGACAGCUAAGCAUACAAAUCUUAAAGAGAUUUUGGAGACUGCAUGAGGUCCAUGAAAUUUUUAGCAGGUGUUUCCUCGAUGUCCCUGCAACCUCUCAACUAUUCAGAUGUUGCACAUCUUACGGAUUCAGGUGUGGUUGAACCAGAUCAAAGACCGCUACCACAGUGCUUAAAGGAUUUGCUAGGAAGCACUUCACUUUUCUGUUGAAGCUUUUACCACUCAACUUCUCUUCAAAGCAUUUGUCAUUCACAAUAUCUAAGAUCUACGACCGCAAACAAUGUUCACCACUCCCGAACUUUUACUGGAAAGGGCCUAAUAAUAACUCUGAAUAUGAUAUGCCUGGAGCUAGAGCAUUUAAAACUAAACCACCCUGGGUUGGCAGCUUGUGAAGGGACAGAGGAGGCUACAGGGGCCAUUAGUGGCGUUCACCAAGAGCCUGUUUGGGGAGGAGUCACAGCUGAAGGUGCAACACUUAAGGAGGAUGUCCGCAACAUAGAAAACACACGUACUGGUUAGUUUUACAGCUUUGGAAGUGACCAAGUCCAAUGCCCAUUACUGCUCUUCCUUCCUUUUUAUCUUCUUUUAAGCUUCAAUAAAUUAUCUACGAUCUCCCGACUAGGAAUCAUUUUAAAGUCGUUUUUUGUUUGUUUUUUUUUUUCUUGGCUUGGUCACAAAGAAACCUAUUGGGCCAAAACUUUACUUAAAAAAUAUAUGGAAGUUAUCAUUUCUUUUUUA